rnacentral:rRNA from 1 species
GAUGAACGCUGGCGGCGUGCCUAAUACAUGCAAGUCGAGCGAAGCGGCGACGGGCGAGUAACACGUGGCUAACCUCCUAUAAGUCUGGGAUAACUACGGGUAACCGUAGCUACACCGGAUCCUUAAUGAUCGAUCCGCGCUGCAUUAGCUAGUUGGUAAGGUAACGGCUUACCAAGGCAACGAUGCCUAGCCGACCUGAGAGGGGGAUCAGCCACACUGGAACUGAGACACGGUCCAGACUCCUACGGGAGGCAGCAGUAGGGAAUCGUGCGCAAUGGGCGAAAGCCGGACGGAGCAACGCCGCGUGAGUGAUGAAGGUCUUCGGAUCGUAAAACUCUGUUAGUAAGGAAGCGGUACCUAAUCAGGAAGCCACGGCUAACUACGUGCCAGCCGCCGCGGUAAUAC